GAUGAACGCUGGCGGCGUGCCUAAUACCUGCAAGUCGAGCGAACGGACGAGAAGCUUGCUUCUCUGUUGUUAGCGGCGGACGGGUGAGUAACACGUGGAUAACCUACCUAUAAGACUGGGAUAACUUCGGGAAACCGGAGCUAAUACCGGAUAAUAUUUUGAACCGCAUGGUUCAAAAGUGAAAGACGGUCUUGCUGUCACUUAUAGAUGGAUCCGCGCUGCAUUAGCUAGUUGGUAAGGUAACGGCUUACCAAGGCAACGAUGCAUAGCCGACCUGAGAGGGUGAUCGGCCACACUGGAACUGAGACACGGUCCAGACUCCUACGGGAGGCAGCAGUAGGGAAUCUUCCGCAAUGGGCGAAAGCCUGACGGAGCAACGCCGCGUGAGUGAUGAAGGUCUUCGGAUCGUAAAACUCUGUUAUUAGGGAAGAACAUAUGUGUAAGUAACUGUGCACAUCUUGACGGUACCUAAUCAGAAAGCCACGGCUAACUACGUG
rnacentral:rRNA from 1 species